rnacentral:lncRNA from 1 species
GUGUGGAUAUUUAAACAAAAAUGGAAAACAAGUGGUUUUUGGUUCAGAGUCAAUGUUACCUAUUGUGUUGGUUUUUUUUUUGUUUGCUCAGUUUUCUCUUUUUCUCUUUUUCCACCGAGUGCCCUUUUUCGUGCUUCUUUUUGAAUCUUCGAGUUAUAAAUUUUUUCUCUUUUUCCUUUCUACCGAUGAUUUCCUAUUUCAUUCAUUUUUU